ACACAGACUUAUUCAACCUUCAUCUGAACCAUGAGGGGCAAACAGAGAAACCUUCACAUUUUGACCCUUGCUGCUCGUAUCAGAUUAGCUGGGUCUAGUUACACUGCGUGCUCUGGAAGAGUUGAAAUCCUUUACAACAACACCGGGGGAACAGUCUGUGAUGAUGACUGGGACCUGAAUGGUGUUGCGGUGGUUUGCAGACAGUUGGGCUGUGGUACAGCACUGAAGGCCACAGUACAGGCCCAUUUGGGACACAUGACUGUGGACAUGGUGAGGAUGCUGGUGUGAUCUGUUCAGGUGUCAGAUUAGCUGGGUCCACUCGAUGCUCUGGAAGAGUUGAAAUCCUUCACAGCAACACCUGGGGCACAGUCUGUGAUGAUAACUGGGACCUAA